rnacentral:ncRNA from 1 species
CAAGGACUUGGGUCACCAAGUGGCUAUGCCGGGCGCCUAUCCCUCGGCCCAUC